rnacentral:rRNA from 1 species
AACGAACGCUGGCGGCGUGGAUAAGACAUGCAAGUCGAGCGCUAAUUUGAAGGUAGCAAUAUUUUCAAGUUGGAGCGGCGCAAGGGUGCGUAACACGUGGGUAAUCUGCCGUGAAGUUGGGGAUAACUUGCUGAAAGGCGAGCUAAUACCGAAUGUGACGUUUGGAAGGCAUCUUCUGAAUUUCAAAGCUGGGGACCGCAAGGCCUGGCGCUUCACGAUAAGCCCGCGGCCAUCAGCUAGUUGUGAGGUAAUGGCUCACCAAGGCUAAGACGGGUAGCUGGUCUGAGAGGACGACCAGCCACACUGGAACUGAGACACGGUCCAGACACCUACGGGUGCAGCAGUCGAGAAUUUUUCNCAAUGGGCGAAAGCCUGAAGGAGCGACGCGCGUGGGGAUGAAUGGCUUCGGCCCGUAAACCCCUGUCAUUUGCGAACAACCUUACGAUUUAAUAGAUCGUGAGCUGAUUGUAGCGAAAGAGGAA